UACAGAGGUCUCAAGCGUUGUUCGGAUUCAUUGGGCGUAAAGGGUGCGUAGGCGGCGCGGUAAGUCGGGUGUGAAAUCUCGGAGCUUAACUCCGAAACUGCAUUCGAUACUGCCGUGCUUGAGGACUGGAGAGGAGACUGGAAUUUACGGUGUAGCGGUGAAAUGCGUAGAUAUCGUAAGGAAGACCAGUGGCGAAGGCGAGUCUCUGGAAAGCUGCUGACGCUGAGGCACGAAGGCCAGGGGAGCAAACGGG
rnacentral:rRNA from 1 species